CUGACUGUGCUAAGGAAACGUAAUCNNNUGGCUUUUAAAUGGAGUCGAGUAUGAAUGGGUCUACGGAAACAAGCUGUCUCUUUUUGGUUAUAUUGAAGUUUCUUUAAGGGUGCAAAGUCCCUUGAUUAGAAAAAAGACGAGAAGACCCUUAGAGUUUUUAUUAAAGAUAAGAAUUUAUUUAAGUUUUUGCUGGGGCGGCAAAGAGACAAAGCAAUUAAACUCUCUUUUUAUUGUUUUUAGAAGACGAAAAUGUUAAGAAUCAUUAAACUACCUUAGGGAUAACAGCAUAAUUAAAUUUUAGUUUGUGACCUCGAUGUUGGACUAGGAAGGCUUUUGACCAGCAGUCAAAAAGUGUGGUUCUGUUCGAACUAA
rnacentral:rRNA from 1 species